rnacentral:rRNA from 1 species
UACGAAGGGAGCUAGCGUUGUUCGGAAUCACUGGGCGUAAAGCGCACGUAGGCGGAUGUGUCAGUCAGGGGUGAAAUCCCGGAGCUCAACUUCGGAACUGCCUUUGAUACAGCACGUCUUGAGUCCGAUAGAGGUGGGUGGAAUUCCUAGUGUAGAGGUGAAAAUUCGUAGAUAUUCGGAAGAACACCAGUGGCGAAGGCGGCUCACUGGCCCGGUACUGACGCUGAGGUGCGAAAGCGUGGGGAGCAAACAGG